rnacentral:lncRNA from 1 species
CACCUCACAAAGAACUCCUGGCUUUACAAGAAAGACGCUGAACAUCCAUUAGAAAAGUAGCCGCAAGUAGGUUGGCAGGGGUUGCAGGCCUUCUCCACUGAGGUUUUAUUCUUUGUUGUGUCUGGACGAGCAGAUUCAUUCCCCAACCCACCCCACUCUUCUUUCAGCCUAGAAAAUGUUUGCUGAUCACUCGACUUUCUGUUGAAUAAUAAUCUUGAAGACGCACAUGGAGCUGAGUGUACCAGGAAACAUCUAGACCAAGCAUUCCUUCAUCCAGGGAAGGAGGCGUUGGGUCCAGACUCUGUGAAAUAUCAACUCAAAGAAAUCAGACUCAAAGCAAUAUCAACCUUCAGAAGAGUCCAUCCAGACUCUGAGAGUCCAUCCAGGGGCCCGUGAAGGGAGCGCCUGGACAUGCAGGGGUCCGGUCCUCCAUCUCCGCCAAGCCUCCGCCCCAGCCAGCCGAUCUCUGAAUAUCAUUCAGUUGUGUCUGUUUAGAGUGAGGGGGAAGCACAAUUGCUGGAGAUGAAAGCGUCAUUUGCAAAAUAAUAAGAGCGUCCCAGCUGAUGAGAGGCAAACACUCCCGGGCCCUCUUGAAUGCAGACUCUGUUUUCCUAAUUGGAUCUCAUCAAAGCUUUCUCGUUGCCUUCAGCUGGUGGAGGCCCAUCGUGAUGUGGAGGGAGAGGACAGCCGCCAGCAGAUAUAACAUGAAAACAUUCUGUAAGAACUGCACAGAAAGAGUUGAAAGGACAUCCACCUCUAGUUCCCCCAUCUUAACACAAACACUAUUAAUAGGUGGACGGAUAUGGGACAACUUUAUGUUUAUUCCAAGAAUCUGCACGACAUACCAGAAUUUCUCUCCAAAAUCCUUUCAAGUACCAAAUUAAACAACAGAUGCAUGGGACUCCAGGUUGUUGUUUUGCUUGAAUCUAAUUGUCAUGAAGUAUAUACUCUGAAUUGUCCUCUCUUCUUAAACUUUGUCUAAGACCAGUCAAACUUAUGCAUCUAAAAUUCCCCAUGUUCAUCAAAAACAAGUGUUAUGUAACGCUGGUGCACAGAAUUUAGCAGUUGCCAGACAGCAACCCAAGCAAAGAGAUAACAACCUUCUGAAUGCAUACAUUCUUAACAAAUAUAUGCGGAUGAUCCACUUGGCAUUGACCACUGUGCUGGGUGCCAAUGGGAAACAGUGAAAUAAGCAGACCCUGCACUCUAGGAUUCUGAGGUUUAGUAGCCAACAGACAACAGUUCAUCCUAAGUCAUACGGUGAGUCCAGAGAUGGAAUGUACCUGCAAAUAAAGAUACACAUGGAAAACCAAUACAAAGCCGGGAGCUAGAUGAUGUUAGUUCAAAUCCCUGCUUUCUGACACAACUAGCUGGGUGGCCUUCUGCUGGGCACUGAGGUCUGAAUUCCUCACAUGUGAGCAGGGGUACAAAUGCCCUCUUUGCAGAGCUAUCAUGGGG